rnacentral:rRNA from 1 species
GUGAGGGAUAUUGGUCAAUGGGGGGAACCCUGAACCAGCCAUGCCGCGUGAGGGAAUGAGGCCCUACGGGUCGUGAACCUCUUUUAUUCGGGGACAACGGCGGCGUCGGGAACGCCGCGUGAGGGUACCGAAGGAAUAAGCGUCGGCUAACUCCGUGCCAGCAGCCGCGGUAAUACGGAGGACGCGAGCGUUAUCCGGAUUCAUUGGGUUUAAAGGGUGCGCAGGCGGCCGUGCAAGUCAGCGGUGAAAGCCCGGGGCUCAACCCCGGAAGUGCCGUUGAUACUGCAUGGCUGGAAUGCGGUCGAGGCGGGCGGAACGUGGCGUGUAGCGGUGAAAUGCGUAGAUAUGCCACAGAACGCCGAUAGCGGAGGCAGCUCGCCAGGCCUGCAUUGACGCUCGGGCACGAAAGCGUGGGGAUCGAACAGG